GGGGGGAAAAAGUGUACUUUGAAAAGAAAAUCAAAAGUUGGUCGAGUUUAGCAUUCUGCCUUCUCAGAACCUUAGAGUUGUGGGGUUGGAGGCCAAGGCCUUCCUCUGAAGACUCUGAGGCAGCCUCAGCUGCCCACCCAGUGAAUUCACUCAUUUUAUCUAAGACUCCAUCUGAAGAGGGGGCUGCCUCCAUGCACAAAGUGAGUCUAGGAACCACUGCACUGGAUAAUUUAAAACUCAAACUGUUUUGGUAGAUCACCCGUGGCCAACGCACCCUGGGAUGAAUUCCAUCAAACCUGCAGAGCUAUCAGGGGACACACCAGAUACACAGCCUGCACAUGGCCUAUAGAAUCAGGUGUCCAAAGUGAGAAAGGAAGCGUGGAAGGAGGAAACCAGCAGGCGUGCAGAGGAGCAGCUGCUUUCAUCCCCAGCAGCGACACUUCCAGCCCGCGGGCCUGACGGGGACACCUGCCCACGAACCCCCUGCAGGGGACACGAGUUCUCCUUCCUCUCCGAGUCCAUCUUUAAGAUGGUAACAGAGCUCUGAAUCGUCACCAUUUUAUCAUCAGAUGAUUUCAUGUCAACAUGGACCUAGAAAUACUGUCUCAAGAGAAACUUCCUCCAGAACUUCAUUCAAGAGGAUCACAAUCUGCACCCUGGCUCCUACAGCCUAGAUAAAGGACUUGUCCUUCUAUACGAAGCAUGCAGAUACGACAGCAACCAAGAGAAGAGUACAGUACACAGUUCUGACAGGAUGCGGGCGACAGGGAGGCCUGCGGGCCAGGAUUUCAGUUUAGACUACUGCCCAACUGGGGUUGAGUGGGCAAAGCAGAUGCUGAUUGGUUGUCUUGGCACAGAGAAAAACCAAAGCAAGAAAGCUGCCAGAUAGACAGUCAAAGAGAAUGUUCUCCCUCAAAUUUUGCUACUAACAUUUUUUAUAAAAUAUUUAUUUAGAAUGCUAGCUCCUACCAAAUUGCUAUAGCUAUAGAAAAUCCUAAAGAAUAAAAGGAUUUACAUUGUAAGAAAGCCCAAAACUACAAUUUGGCAGAACAUCUGUAGAAUUAUAACUAAUCAAACUGUACUACGGCAACUUCAAAAAACCAACUGUGCCCCUAGAUGAGUCAAAUGCCGCCUUCAAUUCUCCCUGACAAAAGUAAAAUACCAAAGACAUCAGCUUAUGUAUCAAAAAAAAAAAAAAAAAUCCAUGUGCUAAAAAAUUCACUGGAGAAAAAAUGUCCAGAAGGCCACAUGGUCUUUGGCAACCACUGGAUAAACAGCAGUGGUUAGGAAUUUCCAGGGGCAAACCAGUAAAACCCAGAGGGGGCCCUGUGCAGCCUCUCAGGCACAUGGCGGGCUGGCAACCAGGAAGAGCCAGCCCCAAAGAUCUGGACGCCCUCUCAGGGGAAAUGCAGGACGCUCAGGACUGAGGCAGGACAUCAAGAGAGCAGCCAUGUAAGCUCUUGUUUCUGACCUGUUUUCUAAAAACAAAUUCCACUUAAACAGCAUCUCCCUUUAAAGCAUUUCAACUCAUUCUAACAAAAUCUAGAGCAGCCUGGUCAGUGAAGUUAGGAGCACUGGAGUUAGCAAUGAAAUGGGUGAGUUAAAGAAGCAAGUUAGUUAUCUGCCACACUGAUCCCAAUAUUAAAA
rnacentral:lncRNA from 1 species